AUGGUUGGGGCAGUGUGCAGGUAUAUUAUUCUGACAUCAAAUAAUGUGCAGAAAAUUGCUUCUCCAUCCUUAAAUUUCUCCCUUCCUUCUCUCUACAUCUCUGAGGUUCUGUCUUUAUGGGAGUGCUGGGAAUACUGCGGGAUGAGAGAUAGAAUGUGGCCCAGGAAGAGGAUGGAGGGGUCUGGAAAAACUCUGGGAAAAAGAAGGAUUCAACUUCUACCUGCAUCAACAUGCCUUUGCUGUCCAGCGUCGCAGAAUGUGGAUGUAAUGAGAAAAGAUCCCAGGUGUCUGCUGGUUUCAUAG
rnacentral:lncRNA from 1 species